CAUUUUUUUCUUUUAGAAUUAUUUUGGUUUAUGUGUAUUCGUGUUUUGACUGCCUGUAUAUAUGGGUACGAUGUGCUCAUCAGAGCCCUUCCCCGAGAGCAAUUGGAGAGCAAGAUGUUUCCUCCCGAGUUUCUGUUCUUUCAUCUGGUUUUUGCAAUUGGUCGGUGAGGGGGUUAGGGGGCUUGCUACACAGCCCAAGAGCUCUCAUGUAGCUAAGGCUAGCCCUGAAACCAGAAUCUUUUUGUCUCACGCUUCUGAGCCCUCUCCCGGGAUAAUGACAAUGAUGAGAUGGUGAUGAUGAUGAUGAUGACAUCCUCUAUUGGCCUCUGAGGACACCUGCAGGCACAUGUACACACAUGCAUACACACAAAUAAGUCUUUCUUUUUAAUUAAAAAAAAGUUUAUUGAGUCUUGUGAGUUUCAUAUCAUGCAUCCCAGUCUCCUCAUCCCCUCAUAUCCUCAUAUCUACCCUUCACUCUUGCAACGUACCCCCAAAGUAACACAACAACAACAACAACACCCCAAAACACAGAAAAACAUCUCAUCGUGGAAGCUGUAGUAUGUCGUCGUGUAUCCCAAAGUGUAUCCCUCUGGCCACACAUCUUUUCUUGCAGAUGGACAUUGCAGUUGGUCUGGUUCGAGGUCUCUGCCUUCUGUGACACCAUCAAUAUUGGAUCCUCACCAGACUUCUCCUGCUUAUCCUGUUGUUGUUCUAUGUCAUGGAGAUCCUGCAUCUUUGGAUCAGCAGGACUGGCCCAUUCAUGAAUCUCAACCAUUUGCAGGUGAUAUAGAUUUGGGGAUGGGCCAACUCAGAACUCUCCAUCUGGGCCUCCGUGGUAGCUGAGCUCUAGUUAGCACUACCAGGGUGAGCCUUCCAGCACAACUCCAGCUAGACCACCCAGUGCCACCAUUGGCAGGAGACAGGGGGUGCUCUCCUGCCCUCAGGAUAACUCACUCACUUGUACAACUCCAGAGCCAGCACCAUGCUACCCAGUCAAAGCACAGGGUCCACUUUCCCAAGUGCUACAGCCUUUGAGGGACUGGGCCAACUCUCCUUGGAGCCGACUCACUCGUGCUUUCUCCACUAGGGCCAGCCCUACUAUGCUGCCCAGGCAAGGUGCAGGGCCCCCUCUCUCCCAAGUGCUGCAAUCUGGUGAGGGGCAGGGCUAACUCACCCACUCUCAUGACCCCAGGAUCAGCUCUCCUGACUGCCUCCAGUGGUGAGGGGGCAAAUGAAGGGUAUCCCCCCUCCCACUCCCACCCGAUCCAGGCCACCUCAAGGCAGAAGAGUGGCAGGGUCAGCUCUCCCUAGCCUCUGGUUGGCUUGUCCACACCCCUGCCACCAGGGCCAGCUCCACUGUAGUGCCUGGUGAGCUGCAGGGCCUGCUCUCCUGACUGCUGCUGCUGGUGAGAGGUGGGGUCAGCUCUCCAGAGCACAGCAGCCAAUGAGGGACAGGACCAGUUCAGCACAGUCCCUGGACAUGUACAUGGUCCCUGGUGGCUGCCCAGAUCAGGGAUGUCCCCACGUUCUCUAAUGAUAAUAUGACCCAUGACCAUUGCCACUGACCUUUGCCACUGAAUAGCCAUGGACCUAGACAUGGCCCCUCAGGUGGUAGCUUUGACUGGGACCUCACCAUGGCCCCAGGUGGAGGGCCAGUCAUUCACAACAGGCUACUCCUCUCCACCCUGAGUCUCCAGUUCCAUCUCUCUUCACAAUGCUUAAGCUGUUCCACUUCUUUUUCUCUCCCAUCUGUCCACCAUGUACUUGCACAUGUGGUUGCUCCCACUGCAGGAUGGCCACAUGGCUGGCAGACCCCUGAGUGACAUCUUCUGUCUGCACCAUGUGUCCUAGAGGCAAGCAGGUAUCUACUGCCCACCUGUAGGUGCACAGGGGGACAAGUCUGUGGGUCUCAUGGUGGUCCAGAGGUCCCUGUCUGUCUUCCUCCUCCCUAGUUGCGGGGCUCUGUGUAUCUAUGGCCCAACUAUGCCAUGGGGCAGAAGGCAGGUCUGGGGGCAUCUUUCCCUACCUGCAGCACCUGACAUAACAGACAUAGGUCUCUAUCUGUC
rnacentral:lncRNA from 1 species